rnacentral:lncRNA from 1 species
GGGUCUGUCUUCUUCAAUAUGGCCUGGCCUAACAUGUCCCAUAUACUUUUGACUAAUCCUAUCUCUAAGUCUCUUAGACCCUAUAGCAUUCACAACUUGCUCGUUAAUAUUUACACUUGCAUCCAUAUGCAAAUGGUAAAGACCGUCAAUCAAGAAAGCACAGGCAACAGUUUUAUUUUUGAAAUAAAUUGAACACAUG